GAUGAAGAACGCAGCGAAAUGCGAUACUUGGUGUGAAUUGCAGAAUCCCGCGAACCAUCGAGUCUUUGAACGCAAGUUGCGCCCGAAGCCAUUAGGCCGAGGGCACGCCUGCCUGGGUGUCACACGUCGUUGCCCCCCCAUCUACUCCUUCGGGAUUGCGGGGGGCGGAUGAUGGCCUCCUGUGCGCCUCGUCGCGCGGUUGGCAUAAAUGCCAAGUCCUCGGCGACGCACGCCACGACAAUCGGUGGUUGCGAAACCUCGGUUGCCCGUCGUGUGCGGUCGUCGCGCAUCGAGGGCUCGAAAAAAUUGCCGGGCUCCGGCUCGGCUUUCAACGCGACCCCAGGUCAGGCGGGGUUACCCGCUGAAUUUAAGCAUAUCAAUAAGCGGAGGA
rnacentral:misc_RNA from 1 species